AUACGGAGGGUGCAAGCGUUAUUCGGAAUCACUGGGCGUAAAGGGUGCGUAGGCGGUUUGAUAAGUCUGAUGUGAAAUCCUAUGGCUCAACUAUAGAACUGCAUUGGAAACUGUCAGACUAGAAUACUGAAGGGGCAGAUGGAAUUAGUGGUGUAGGGGUAAAAUCCGUAGAUAUCACUAGGAAUACCGAAAGCGAAAGCGAUCUGCUGGGAAGUUAUUGACGCUGAGGCACGAAAGCGUGGGGAGCAAACGGGAUUAGAAACCCUAGUAGUCC
rnacentral:rRNA from 1 species